rnacentral:rRNA from 1 species
CAGCAGCCGCGGGAAAACGGAGGGGGCUAGCGUUGUUCGGAAUUACUGGGCGUAAAGCGCACGUAGGCGGCUUGGUAAGUUAGAGGUGAAAGCCUGGAGCUCAACUCCAGAAUUGCCUUUAAGACUGCCGAGCUAGCAGGUGAGAGAGGUAAGUGGAAUUCCGAGUGUAGAGGUGAAAUUCGUAGAUAUUCGGAAGAACACCAGUGGCGAAGGCGGCUUACUGGCUCAUACUGGACGCUGAGGUGCGGAAGCGUGGGGAGCAAACAGGAUUAGAUACCCCCGUAGUCCCUGUCUCUUAUAC